CCCUCCUCUCAUAGGUACCUACCCCUAUCCCCUCCUCUCAUAGGUACCUACCCCUAUCCCCUCCUCUCACAGGUACUUAUCCCUAUCCCCUGCUCUCAUAGGUACCUACCCCUAUCCCCUCCUCUCACAGGUACUCACCCCUAUCCCCUCCUCUCAUAGGUACUUACCCCUUUCCCCUCCUCUUCUUGUAGGUCUUUCUAAAAACAUUAUUCCCAUGUCCCUUGUUAUAAGUACAAAUAUCCAUUCCAGAUCCACCUAGAGAGAAAUACUACUUAGGUACUUCCAAAUUCUUGGAUCAUAUGUUGUAUUUUGUUAUCAUGUACUAUUCAUUUCUGUUGUGCAUUCUGCAGGUCCAUGACCUCUUUGCUGAGUGAUGACGAAGAGAGAUAUGUCUCCUCACCUGAGGGUGGUGAUAGAGAGAUGAGACACAGACCCCACUCGGCACCACUGAGUUCUGUGUUUGGAAUCUCUGAGGAUUCUGUCUUCAACAUGGUCCAGAGAGGCCAGUCGCAGAGUGGCAUCGUAUUGUCAUCCAGUUGGAGUAGACGGGAGAAAUACAGACCUGUCAAAAUACCAACGGACACCAGGUUUAUGAUGGGUAUUGUAGAGUUGGUUAUGAACCUUCUCAACUCCAGAUUGGCUGAGCUAAUGCGAAGUUUCAGUCAGGGAACUCUAGGUCCGCUGUCUGGUAGUAUCUCAGCAAGUCAGCAGUUUGCCCAAGAAAUGCUAAGCAUGGUGUCUGCUAAGAUGUAUUCCCAUGCCAUAGAGCAUAUUGCGCACGGCUACAAGUCUCCCCUUGAGUUAGAGCGGGAGCUUGAGGCCAUAUUGGGUCCUCUGGCUGGACAGGUUAUAGUCAUCAUCAUAGAUAGCAUCUUUAAGGCUAAAGCCAACGGAGGAAACAAGGGACGAGCGACCAGCCCCUUGACCUAUUUUCUCACUGCCGUUUCGGCAGAAAUACAAAGCCUAGUUGUUCAGAGAUCGGCUAGCAGACCGUCCACCAGACUGUCCAUCAACGACCCACUGCUGAACAUUUCCAAGUCAAAGGUCUUAAGAUCAGUUCUGCUCAAAAUGGCAGAACUCUUUGGCCAAGGUCCAAGUGAAACCUGUCUAGUUCCAGUAGUCCAGAGUCAGUCCGACAACUCUGUUUGCGACUGGACUCUGAAUGCAGGCACCGUUCAUCCAAGUCAAUUUCUGUCCCACAACAGAAUGUCAGAAGUGUCAUCCGAUGUUGUGGAUCUUGUACUUGAGGUUUUUGGGAUAACAGGAUUUUUGGAUAGCAGGAGCCCGUCAAGGCCACAGAGUGCCUGCUCCUACAACUCAGCUAGUGGAGCAAUAGAUAUGAGAGCUCUUGCUGGGGACUUGGUCAGACAGGUGUCUGUCAAACUCAGACCCUUUGUCUCUGAGAGUCAACUCUCCACCAUGUCCAUGACAGAUCUGUCAUCUAUUUCUGACUCCACCUUGAAGCAGUUGUGUUGUAGCUCUGCUGUUGCUGCAGCAACGGUCUGUCAAGCAAUCAAAAUGGAGCUCGAGAACCAGAGACCAACCGACCUGUCAGCCAGAGACCUACUAUCGUCUCUGGUAGAGAGCAUUGAGGACAUGGAUAUUUCUGACAUCCUCCAGGGCCCGUCGGCCAUUUUGGAGGAGGCUGCUAUGAUUAAGCACCCAGAGAUCUCCACCUCGACAAUAUACAGGUCUCUGCUUCUCGACUCAUCUCUCGCCUCCUCUAACAUGGUCACUGAGAGCAUUAUCUUCAACAGCCCACCCCCAUCAGAGGAGAAUGUGAGUAUUCAGAAUGUGCUCCCUGUUGAUAAAGUUGACAUCCUCCAUGGUCAACCAGUGGAGGGGUAUAUUGUCAAAGCUGAGCAAUGCAUCACUCAGGUCAUUCAGGAUGCAGCUGUGACAUAUACUAGCGUGCUGGAUAAAACCGACACUGGGAAACUGUCAGAAGUUCUGUCUGUCUGCUUUUCCGCUAAGAAUAUUGAGGAUGCAUCCUCUGAUCUAUUUGGUGGAAUUAUUUCCGACCUGCAUGAGGUAUCUGAGGUCAAUAAGACCUCCAUGCGUACGAAAUCAGGUCGCAAAAUGUUCUGGAUGGAAGUGAGUUCAGGUUCCCAGAAGAUUUAUACCAAAACCCUGGACAAACUGAGGAAGCUUUUCACCUCUCACCUUCUCACUGAGGGAAAAAAUACUCCUGUGCAAAUUGAGUUAUAUGACACUGGACUACUUGUAACUGAGACCACUGUGGAGGUAUCUCCUGUACAGAAGACAGACAGUAAUACCUCUUCAAUGUCCUCAGCCCACCAGCUCACCCUCGACACCUGCACUAAAGGGGUCAUCAAACAGGUGAUCUCGGUGCUGAGGGUGGAGACUUCAAAGGAAGUCAAAUGCGAGAGCAUGUCAAAUGCAUCCUUCGACUUCAACCAGAAGUUGGACUCUAUAAUUUCGAAAUUGGAGAGCCUCACCAUUUCGAGUGACGAGACGUCAGCCAAGAUUGCCAGGCUCACGCGAUCUCGUAGUGCAGCCAGCAGAUCCUCUAACAUUUCCAUCCAGAGCUUUCACAGUGCUGAGUUCCAAGCUACGGCCAAACUGAUUGUGCGUGAGGCCAUUCUCAGAGCUGCUAGCGAAGCCAACUGUUCUUUGCCACAGAGCAUGACUAGCAGCACCUUCUCACACCAUGUGGUUUCUACAACUGAAGAUAUAGUGAAUAUGAUCAUGCAAGACCUUGAAAGUCUAUCCCGGUACACAGUGGAGGACGCAGACUCCUUCCCACUAGGAGAGAAAAAGCUGCAGUCCCAGCUCAAUCCCAGAGUUGUCUUUGACACCUUAUUGGAUGCUGCUCAAACCAUGUACCACAGAGUAAAGGAUAGACUGAACGUCUUUUUGUCUUUUCCACCCGUGUCAGUCACCACAGCCAAAGAUGUGCUGGACUCCACCCCUGUGGAGACACUCAGAUGCUCAAAGUCCCCUGACACUGCUCUUGUUAAGGACAGGAGCCGCCCUCCGUCUGUGAGAAGUGAGAAGCCAUUUUCAAAAUUCAGUUUGACUAAAAGGUCUAAAGCCCUUGUGUCUUCGAGUGGCUCCUCCACAGACCACCAUGUAAUUGACACAUGCAGUGAGGAUGUCACUCUGCCUACCAGGAGUAUGUCAGUUGUGAGCGACACCAGUUUGAAGAGAACCUCUCCUCUCCAUGGUAGUGGAUUGAGUGCAAGUUGUGAACCUCUUGUGGCUCUACAAGACGGAACAGUGGCAGUCAGCCAAGAAGGCUUUAGCAAAACUGCAAAGGAGACGCUCAGCUUGAUCCUAAAUGUGAUCAAGUGCAGAUUGGCCAACUCUGAGAGUUCAUCUGUUGGGCAGAAUGCAAGGGAGGAGCGUCUGAUAACCACUAACAUGUUAGACUCUCUACUGGAGAGCCUUGACCUGUUGCCUGACAUGAGUGCUGCCAAUGAGAUCACAAGGACAGAAUGCCAUACCUCUAACGCAAUGGACAAGACAGGUUCACAGUCAGCGCUUGUGAAUCAACAAGAAAUAAACAUAUCUGACACCAGUCUCAUAGUGAAAACUAUAAUGGACACAUUGAAGACAGACGACCCAGAGAUGACUUCAGCAGAAGAAAAUCUGGAUAGACUCCUGUCAAUUGAAGCCCUUCAAGAUGCGUCUGGCAACCUGAUCGCAAAGGUCCAUGGUCUCAUUCAGGAGAUAACCAUAAGCCGCCAGCUUCAAUCCACGACUGGCCACAGAAGCCUCUCUCAACCAGCUCUGCCAAAGCCAGCACUGAGGAAGCUGUCAAAGCACGAUGCGUCAGAGCUCGUUUACAGCUUUGCCCAGACUUCUGUUAGCAGACUCCUGGGGCAGUGUUUGGUUAGGCCUAUGCCACCCACCGCUGACAGGGUUUUGGAUCAGGUCAUCAAGUUGAUGACAGACAUGGUGAUGGACAGCCUGACUGAUCUGUCCAAGUCUGCAAUGGAGGAUGGUAAGUGAAAGUACCUCUUCAUCUGCAUAGGACUUCAUUGUAACAUGAUGCUCACUACAUUGCAUUUUAUGAUGUGAACUUUGCUGUUUGCGUCCAAAAUGGCACCUUCUUCCAUAUUUAGUGCACUACUUUUGACCAGAGCCAGACCCUAUGGGCCCAGUUCAAAAGUUGUGCACUAUAAAGGGAAGAGAAGGCCUUUUGGGACACAGUGACUGAUUUCCAUUGUUGCGUCCUCUUCUCCCAGUUAUUGUACCCAGGUCGGUCACACCAGCUUGCUCUUCUUACUCAGACACCAGCAAUGCUGCAAGUGACAUCACUCAUGGUAUUGUGGCUGACCUUAAUGCUACUGAGGAAUUCCCUGCCAGGGGCCUUAGCCCGGCUGAUGUAAAGGCUGACGGCAUGGCCCGCCUUCCCUCUGCCAGGGGGGAAGAGACUAAGAAGAACAGGAAGUGGCAUUUCCUACACAAAAUUGUCAAGAUUCCAAAGAUCAGGAUUAAGCUGUUCAAGACAAAGGGGGAACCAAAGAGCCACCCUGAACAGGAUUCUCUGCCUACCAAACGUCUCAGAGAGACUCGUAUUUCACAGGAUGCUGAGUGUGAGGUUCCAGAGGUUCCAUCCACUUCCCCACCCAAGGAGGACCUGACAACCACACUGGCCCCUGCUCCCCAGGAGUCCCAGUCCCGUAAACGCCCUCUCAUAGUCAGGGUGUUACGAGCUAUCUCCAGAGCCGUCUCCAAACCAUUCAGAGAAGCUUUUGGGAAGAAGAAUUAGCCAAAUGCCAGAUUUUAUUACUAUUUUAAUCAGAGCCUUUAUUUAAUAAAACAUUACUGCAUGGAUUUCUGUCUAUAGUCGUCUUACUGUUUGUGCAAGAUAAUGGUACCACAUUGUCAAACAUAGUUAUAGUGAAGCACUGUUUAUGAUUAUUGAUUGUGGAAAUCACAUUUUAAUACAGAAAAGAUGUCGUCACAUAAAGACAGACAUAUAGGAGAAAACUCUGUCGACUAUUCACAUGAUCAAGACACAACUAAAGCCAUGAAUGGAUCAUAUUAUUAUACCUUUAUUUCAACAAGGAACACAGACUGAGACCAAGGUUUCUUUUACAGCUGGGCCCUGCGUAGAUAUGUUACACAUUCAGUUUAGCUACAAUGAUUAAGAAACUACACAAGACAAACAAGACCAUCACAGAUAACACACAAAUACAGCAGCAGAUUAUUACGUUUGCACACAGGUUAUUCCCCUAACAGCACAAUAACUUGCAUUACCCGAAAGUUACAAGCAAUACAGAAAUAAAAAUCCUCCAAUGAUUAUUUAAAAUGGGCAACAGGGGGACAAGAGUCUCAAAUUUAAGUUUAGUCUGCAGGCUUUUCCAUUGGCAAGGAGCGUAACAGGAAAAGGCAGCCAUACCCAACUCCCAUACCCAUACCCAACUGUGGAAAUCGCAUGGACCUCAAGUGUAAUCCAUGCUUGAGACCUGGUUUUAGGAAUUCUAAUUCUAAUAUUGAUGAGUGAUGAUAAAUAAGAUGGUAGUUUAUUCAGAAGUGCUUCAUAGACAAACACGAGAACAUAUUCUCGUCUCAUGGACAGCGAAGUCCAACCCACAUUUUGAUACAAAACACAGUGGUGAGUUCUGUAGCUAGCGUCCGUAAUAAACCUAAGUACUCAAUGAUAAAUAGCAUCCAGCGAUUUAAGUGUUGAUGCCGUAGCAUGCAUGUAGAUAAUAUCCCCACAAUCUAUAACAGACAUAAAAGUAGCUUGCACAAUUUGUCUUCUAUUUGUACAGGACAAACAUGUCCUGUCUCUAAAGAGGAAGCCUAGCUUGAUUUUUAGCCGUUUAUAAAGUUCGUCAAUAUGCAUUUUAAAAGACAGUUCAUCAUCCAACCAUAUCCCUAAGUAUUUAUAUGCAGAGACCUGAUUCAUUCGAGAACCAUGUAAGCUCUUGUAAGUGCAAGUGUAUUUUCAACCAACUUUUUGAACCUAUUAAAAAUCAUAA